CAGACACACAGCGCUGGAUGCAAUCGGCGUCAGAGACAGAGCCAGACGGGGGUGUUCAAGCCGCCAGCAAGACAGAGCGUGCCGGAAGAGCCCUCGGUGUCGCCGUCGGACCAACACCGACCGGCUGGACUGUCGUCUCAGCCUGCAGGUAUACAGAUACCAGAAAGAACAAGAAAUGGAUUUCGCUGCGAAUACUCGCCGCUCUAUUAAUCGCUCCGUCUCCUUGGUUACCUUUGACCCCUUACAGUUUGGAGGAGACACACACAUUUGCUGAAGCCACUUGUCCCAAGCGGGGUCGUGGACGGCCAGAGCCUGGCCCAGCGGUGCGGUGCAUUGGGGGGACACCCAGGGCAGGAUGCCAGUCCAUCACAAGGCACCUCAAGAUGGACUUGAGCCCAAGACCCACCAGCCACCAGGGAGCAGGCACAGGCGAAGCCCUCUGCACCACUGCACCUCCCCCCCCCCCCCCCCCGAAAGACAGUGUAUAGGUGAAGUCACCAGAACUCAUUAUAAGUAGCUAUUUUUCUUUCAUCAUGUUUCUGAGUGCCAUCAAGGAGAAAAGCGUAGAGAAGAGUUUUCAGGAGAGGCGACUGGUAAUGAACUUUUAGAGAGAAGGGAACUCGCACUAACUGAAAAGCAUAUUAUAAAAACAGGGGGAAACUGCUGCUGAUUGGG
rnacentral:lncRNA from 1 species